UAAAAUUAGGGAUAGGGGGAGUUAAUUAAAGGAUUUAGGGGGUAGUGGUGAUUGAGUGGAAUUCUGUGCUUCCUAAAUUUUUACUUUUCAGAGAAAAAGGUGAGCGAACGUCUCCCUUCCUCCCUUGGCUGAAUCUUCUCCCUCUUUUCAUCAUUCCCCUUCAUUUUUUUUGUCGAUUCUUUUCUCUCCCUUGCAGCCGACUGUUUUUCCUCCUCUAGUUUUUUCUUCCUGGCUAUUAUUCUUUCUGCGAAUUGUGCCAUUGGCCUUUCUUUUCUCCUCUUUUUGUUUGUUGUUGACUACUACUAAAAAUUUCCUUCUCUCAUUGCAUUGGUUUUUCUAGGAGUCCAUUUCCUUCUCAAAUCAUUGUUGCCGCAAUUUGUCAUCUCCAUUUUGCCUUUGCGCGUUUGUGGUAAGUUUUGUAACUGUGGUGUUAUUUGGUUUAUGGAUUUUUGGUGAUAGGUCGACUAUUUCAUUGAUGAAGGUUAAGGACUAGAACGAUUCGGUUAGCAUUAGAGCUGUGUGGUUCUACCGUUACUCGUUUAGUAGAUUUUUCAGCAGCGAAUUGUGGGAGUGGUGACCUAUCUCGUACGGAUUCGUAGGUGGGGGUUGCUCAGUUUUGAAGGUACUGGGGAUCUCGGAAGUGUUUUUACGUUAGAAACAGACCAGGUGUGUAAUCAUAUCACUGAAAAUGCUAGUCGGUGAAAAAACUAAAAAAUGGGACUGACAACGCCACACAAGCAUAGGACCGCUCGUGUGGUAGGUCGUGUGAUUGAACAUGGGCGUGAGAUCGACAAGGCUGGCCAUGUUCAAUUUUUGGGCUGGGCCGAAUUGGGCCGUGUGAGCUGCACGAGCGGGUGGGCCCCACACAGACGUAUGGGAAUAUUGGGUCAAGCCGUGAGAUCCACACGACCAAGGUCAUUUUGGGCCGUGUGGGCCCACAUGGGCAUGCAACAUAGGCCGUGGGCCCAUUUUCUCUGUUUGACUGCUAAUGUUGCACGGUCACCCGAGUCGACUAUGGACCUACUGUAGGGUUGGUAAUCCCCAGACUUAGGCGGAUCGGAGCGGCGAAGGACUCAGCUGUGCCCACACAACUCCUUUUUACUGUUUUGUAUUUAAUUAGGUUUAUUUUUUAAAGCUUUAUUUGGGGUAUUUUUCUGUAAUAAUAGCUGC